rnacentral:rRNA from 1 species
AGCGAACGCUGGCGGCAGGCAUAACACAUGCAAGUCUAACGAACUCUUCGGCGUUAGCCGCGUACGGGUGAGAAACUCGUGGGAACGUGCCUUUUGGAUCGGAAUAACCCAGUGAAACUUGUUCUAAUACCGACUGUGCCCUUCGGGGGAAAGAUUCAUCGCCAUUAGAGCGUCCCUCGUCUAAUUAGCUCGUUGCUGUGGUAACGGCUUACCACGGCGACGACCAGUACCUGGACUGGGAGAAGGGCCUGCCUCACUGGAACUGAGACACGGCCCACUCUCCUACGGAACACUGCGGUGGAGAAUCUUGCGCAAUGGGCGAAAGCCUGACGCAGCCAUGCCGCGAGAAUCAUGAGUGUCUUAGGAUUGUAACAUUCUUUCACACGAGACGAUAAUGGCGGUACCCAGAGAAGAAGCCCCUUCUAACUUCGUC